CCCAUCUCAGGAUUGUAGCUGGAGAGUUCCCAGUCCUCUACCAGUCUUGGCUACGGGAGGGAGAGUCAAGCUGAGGCCUACCCAUUCCAUUCCUAGCUUGAGCAAUGGAUAGCGAGUGGAAGACAAUCUGCUACAAGU